rnacentral:rRNA from 1 species
UUUGGUUAAGUUAGAAAGGGCGCACGGUGGAUGCCUUGACACUAGGAGUCGAUGAAGGACGGGACUAACGCCGAUAUGCUUCGGGGAGCUGUAAGUAAGCUUUGAUCCGAAGAUUUCCGAAUGGGGAAACCCACCAUACGUAAUGGUAUGGUAUCCUUAUCUGAAUACAUAGGGUAAGGAAGACAGACCCAGGGAACUGAAACAUCUAAGUACCUGGAGGAAGAGAAAGCAAAUGCGAUUUCCUGAGUAGCGGCGAGCGAAACGGAACAUAGCCCAAACCAAGAGGCUUGCCUCUUGGGGUUGUAGGACAUUCUAUACGGAGUUACAAAGGAACGAGGUAGACGAAGCGACCUGGAAAGGGCCGUCGUAGAGGGUAACAACCCCGUAGUCGAAACUUCGUUCUCUCUUGAAUGUAUCCUGAGUACGGCGGAACACGUGAAAUUCCGUCGGAAUCUGGGAGGACCAUCUCCCAAGGCUAAAUACUCCCUAGUGAUCGAUAGUGAACCAGUACCGUGAGGGAAAGGUGAAAAGCACCCCGGAAGGGGAGUGAAAGAGAUCCUGAAACCGUGUGCCUACAAAUAGUCAGAGCCCGUUAACGGGUGAUGGCGUGCCUUUUGUAGAAUGAACCGGCGAGUUACGAUCCCGUGCGAGGUUAAGCUGAAGAGGCGGAGCCGCAGCGAAAGCGAGUCUGAAUAGGGCGUUUAGUACGUGGUCGUAGACCCGAAACCAGGUGAUCUACCCAUGUCCAGGGUGAAGUUCAGGUAACACUGAAUGGAGGCCCGAACCCACGCACGUUGAAAAGUGCGGGGAUGAGGUGUGGGUAGCGGAGAAAUUCCAAUCGAACCUGGAGAUAGCUGGUUCUCCCCGAAAUAGCUUUAGGGCUAGCCUUAAGUGUAAGAGUCUUGGAGGUAGAGCACUGAUUGGACUAGGGGUCCUCAUCGGAUUACCGAAUUCAGUCAAACUCCGAAUGCCAAUGACUUAUCCUUAGGAGUCAGACUGCGAGUGAUAAGAUCCGUAGUCAAAAGGGAAACAGCCCAGACCGCCAGCUAAGGUCCCAAAGUGUGUAUUAAGUGGAAAAGGAUGUGGAGUUGCUUAGACAACUAGGAUGUUGGCUUAGAAGCAGCCAACCAUUUAAAGAGUGCGUAAUAGCUCACUAGUCGAGUGACUCUGCGCCGAAAAUGUACCGGGGCUAAAUACACCACCGAAGCUGCGGAUUGAUACCAAUGGUAUCAGUGGUAGGGGAGCGUUCUAAGGACAGUGAAGUCAGACCGGAAGGACUGGUGGAGUGCUUAGAAGUGAGAAUGCCGGUAUGAGUAGCGAAAGACGGGUGAGAAUCCCGUCCACCGAAUGCCUAAGGUUUCCUGAGGAAGGCUCGUCCGCUCAGGGUUAGUCAGGACCUAAGCCGAGGCCGACAGGCGUAGGCGAUGGACAACAGGGUGAUAUUCCUGUACCACCUCUUUAUCGUUUGAGCAAUGGAGGGACGCAGAAGGAUAGAAGAAGCGUGCGAUUGGUUGUGCACGUCCAAGCAGUUAGGCUGAUAAGUAGGCAAAUCCGCUUAUCGUGAAUGCUGAGCUGUGAUGGGGAAGCUCCUUAUGGAGCGAAGUCUUUGAUUCCCCGCUGCCAAGAAAAGCUUCUAGCGAGAUAAAAGGUGCCUGUACCGCAAACCGACACAGGUAGGCGAGGAGAGAAUCCUAAGGUGUGCGAGAGAACUCUGGUUAAGGAACUCGGCAAAAUGACCCCGUAACUUCGGGAGAAGGGGUGCUUUCUUAACGGAAAGCCGCAGUGAAUAGGCCCAAGCGACUGUUUAGCAAAAACACAGCUCUCUGCGAAGCCGUAAGGCGAAGUAUAGGGGGUGACACCUGCCCGGUGCUGGAAGGUUAAGGAGAGGGGUUAGCGUAAGCGAAGCUCUGAACUGAAGCCCCAGUAAACGGCGGCCGUAACUAUAACGGUCCUAAGGUAGCGAAAUUCCUUGUCGGGUAAGUUCCGACCCGCACGAAAGGUGUAACGAUUUGGGCACUGUCUCAACCAGAGACUCGGUGAAAUUAUAGUACCUGUGAAGAUGCAGGUUACCCGCGACAGGACGGAAAGACCCCGUGGAGCUUUACUGUAGCCUGAUAUUGAAUUUUGGUACAGUUUGUACAGGAUAGGCGGGAGCCUUUGAAACCGGAGCGCUAGCUUCGGUGGAGGCGCUGGUGGGAUACCGCCCUGACUGUAUUGAAAUUCUAACCUACGGGUCGAUAAGACCCGGGAGACAGUGUCAGGUGGGCAGUUUGACUGGGGCGGUCGCCUCCUAAAGUGUAACGGAGGCGCCCAAAGGUUCCCUCAGAAUGGUUGGAAAUCAUUCGUAGAGUGCAAAGGCAUAAGGGAGCUUGACUGCGAGACCUACAAGUCGAGCAGGGACGAAAGUCGGGCUUAGUGAUCCGGUGGUUCCGCAUGGAAGGGCCAUCGCUCAACGGAUAAAAGCUACCCCGGGGAUAACAGGCUUAUCUCCCCCAAGAGUCCACAUCGACGGGGAGGUUUGGCACCUCGAUGUCGGCUCAUCGCAUCCUGGGGCUGUAGUCGGUCCCAAGGGUUGGGCUGUUCGCCCAUUAAAGCGGUACGCGAGCUGGGUUCAGAACGUCGUGAGACAGUUCGGUCCCUAUCCGUCGUGGGCGUAGGAAAUUUGAGAGGAGCUGUCCUUAGUACGAGAGGACCGGGAUGGACGCACCGCUGGUGUACCAGUUGUUCUGCCAAGGGCAUAGCUGGGUAGCUAUGUGCGGAAGGGAUAAGUGCUGAAAGCAUCUAAGCAUGAAGCCCCCCUCAAGAUGAGAUUUCCCAUAGCGUAAGCUAGUAAGAUCCCUGAAAGAUGAUCAGGUUGAUAGGUUCGAGGUGGAAGCAUGGUGACAUGUGGAGCUGACGAAU